rnacentral:rRNA from 1 species
GACGAACGCUGGCGGCGUGCUUAACACAUGCAAGUCGAACGGUAAGGCCCUUCGGGGUACACGAGUGGCGAACGGGUGAGUAACACGUGGGGGAUCUGCCCUGCACUUCGGGAUAAGCCUGGGAAACUGGGUCUAAUACCGGAUAGGACCACUGCCUGCAUGGGUGGUGGUGGAAAGAUUUUGCGGUGUGGGAUGGGCCCGCGGCCUAUCAGCUUGUUGGUGGGGUGAUGGCCUACCAAGGGGACGACGGGUAGCCGGCCUGAGAGGGCGCCCGGCCACACUGGGACUGGGGUACGGCCGAGGCUACUACGGGAGGCAGCAGUGAGGAAUAUAGCACAAUGGGCGCAAGGCUGAUGCAGCAACGCCGCGUGAGGGAUGACGGCCUUCGGGUUGUAAACCUCGUUCAGCACCGACGAAGCGCAAGUGACGGUAGGUGCAGAAGAAGGACCGGCCAACUACGUGCCAGCCGCCGCUGUAA